GGUGGAUGGUGUGCAUGGUGCAAGUCUGUGUUAUGUGUUGUUGCCGGACUGCGUUUUGCAGUCUUGGCAGCAAUGCUCACUCCUCACCUGCAGCCAUAGAGCAACUGGAGAUCAUAGUACUGGCCCUUGACGUCCUUAUCGACAUCUCGCCAUCGGCCAGCCUCCAAACUCUCCUACAUGC